GUGUGAUUUAACCCUGAUGUUUCUUUGUUAAUUCAUUUUCUCUGGGUCACCUGUAGAAUUGUGAGAGUGUGGUAUUGAAGUGCCCCACUGAUUGUGCUGUUUUCUAUCUGUCUUUUGAAAUCCAGUUUUGUUUUGUUUUGUUUAUGAAUUGUAGUCAUGGUAAACCUUGCAAGUAUUGGGACAGAGAAAGACAUCUGCCUAUGGCAAAGAUAAACUGGAAACAUGUUGACACUCGUGUGGAGGAAAACUCCUGUUUGAGUCAUCUUCAUUCCUCAGAUGCUGCUAGAGUUUCCACAGCUUCGCAGUUGAACAUCUCCAGUUAGUUCGUCACUACCUCUCACAUGCAGUCAGCUGGAGGAGUAGCUGAAGUGGUCCUGUGGGGCAUAAUGAGAGCUUUCUAAUGAGGCAGAAUUAGGCAUGCAUGCUGGAUUAGCAAUUUGGGCAAGUCACUUCGAUGUCCUGAGCCACAGUCUCCCUCAUCUGUAAAAUGUAAAGCUUGAGAUACUUUCUUGAAUAGAGUAGGCUUUCACCAAGUGGUAGUUUUUUUUUUUUUCUUGUUGAUUGGUGAUAUAAAAGAUGAAAUGGAGGGAGAGAUUUUUGUUUUUUGUUUUUGGCUGCAGUUUUAUUAAUGGGACAAAGAGGGUACAAAUUUAAUAGAAAAAAGAAGACAAAAUUAAAACCUUGGUCUUUAUUUUUUUUUUAACGGAUCCUACUUAGGCUUUUAGUCAUAAUAAUAAUCUAAUUGAGGUCUAAUUUCAUCAGAGGCUAUUAUUUUGGAGGUCAUGGAUAUGGAAUAAUGUCCCUGACAUAUAAAACCUAAGAGCUAAGUGGUAUCAUAGUUACUCCCAAAGGUAAGACAGAGGUAAGAAUUACUAAGGAACUAAGGGACAUAUUGUACAUAUCAUCCUAUGGAAAUUUUAAUUUUUUUGCAUAAGUAGUCCCACCUUCAAACAAUAUGAAAAGACUACACCAUGAACAGUCACCUCCAACAACUCACUCUGCCCACCUCCAAAUCCCCCACCUAAAGCCCAACAUUUGGCCUAUUACCUACUCAGUGUUUCUUUACAUCAGUAGAGGGAAAGAUGUAUAUUUACUCUUUCUCCCCUUUUUGUG
rnacentral:lncRNA from 1 species